CACUGGGGUUUCCCGUGUAUUAAUGGACGGACUAUGACACUCUUAAGAGCACGUCCCGUGAGUCAGUUAGUUAGUUAGUUAGUUAGUUAGUUAGUCAGUCAGUCAGUCAGUCAGUUACUUAGUUAGUUAGUCAGCCAGUUACUUAGUUAGUUAGUUAGUCAGUUACUUAGUUAGUUAGUUAGUUAGUUAGUUAGUUAGUUUAUAAUCUCUUUGUGAAAGUCUUGUGUGUCUUUGCACAUGUUGCUUUGUCUCCAUGUACUCAUGCAUCCUUUUUCUUUUGUUGCCGUGUUCCUUUUGUGGUCCUUUUGUCAUUCUUAUGUACUCUGAAUCUCUGUAGUAAUGUCGUUUUUGUUUCGUUCUUUUCCUUUUGCAUGUUUUCUGUAGUGCAGUGCAGUUCAGUCAUUGGGUGUCCCAUGUGGGGAACUUGACUGUGCACAACAUGAAAGACAACAAAACGGCAGUGGGGUCAGCUGACCUCUCAAAGUGCUGCAAUGCUAAGAAUGAUGCUGACAUGGUGGGCACCCUCGAGAAGGUUUGUUAAUUCAAAAGCCUUAAUACUUAAGAGGGCAUUGUCCUCUUCUAACGUACCAGUAAAUCUCGCUCCACCUUUCCACAUUUACGGUAUGAUUAAUAUGCUAUACAUUAAAAAUGUUGACAGUGAUACAAUGAUGUACAUUUACAGAAUCAACAAUGCCUUCCGUUAUCGCUUCCCUCUUCUUUCCUCCUCCCUGUCUGUCUACCCAGAUGGCGUGUGGAGCUGUGCAGCAGUGGCACAGGGUAUAGGUUUGGGGCCAUGGCUGGGCCAAGAGUGCAGACACAGGUGUGUGUGGCCUGUCUUUUCCUUUGGGACCGCCAUGCAACAGUGGCCCCUGAGCUAACAGUGCCAUCCGUUCUCACCAAGCUGGACCCCUGACUCCCUGUGGCCCCAGCUCCCCUGCUCCCAAAGCCCAGGGAAGCAGCAGCCGUGCUGGCUGGCCCAACACCCCAUACCCCUUCAGCCCAUCCCAGGUCGCUUUGAAGUGGCUUCAGGAGAGAGAGGUCAGCCUCGCCCCGGAGACCCGCAUUGAGGUAGGGACAGCUGCGGUCAGACAGAUCCUGUGCAGGGGAUACGUACACACAAGAACUUGCACACACGCACAUACACCAAUGCACACACGAGACCCGACAAGAGCAGCUGCAGCCACACUGUUGAAGGUGUGCUGUACAGCAGGACAGCUUGGGAGCCAGUAUGGUCCAGCACGGCUCUACUGUGCUCUGUUCUCUUCUGGGUCACCUACUUUGCAUUCAGGUGUGAAAUUCAGGUGAUAAAAUGUAUAUAUAUUUAAAGUAACUUCCAGAAUUCAGGUUCAUUCUAAUAAAGAAAGACUGUAGAAUAUAAUCUAUAACUUUGAUUCACACACAUUGUCAACAAAUUGAACAUUACCGCCACUCUACUCAAAGGGAUCAUUUGUGGCAGGGAUAUUGUACUGUAAGAUGUUCCUGUUAUUUUGUCCUUCCCCAGUAUGUGAUGACGAUGGCUUAGUUUAAAAAAUGUAUCAGUGCACCUAAGCAAACUGAAUGUGUUCAACUUGCAAACUGUGCGCCGAUAAGACGACAAGGUUAGUUUUUUUCUUUUAAGUUAGAGUUUAUGUUUGUGUUUUUGUGGGUCUGUGCAUAUGUGUCUACAUGUGUUUGCCUGCUAGCCCGUUUAUCUGCUCAUAUCUGUGCAUAUGUUCACAUUGUCACAUUAUGCAGUGUGUGUGUUUGUGUGUGUGUGUGUGUGUGUGUGUGUGUGUGUGUGCGUGUGGGGGUGGGAGGUUACCUUCUGCUCACGUGCAGACACGUUGUACUCCCUGCAAAAAUACCCUGUUCCACGACUUCCCUAACACACUCAUAAAACACACAUUUAUUUCUAUGAACUGAAUUACAUUUCAAAUCAUACAAUGUUUUACCAUAACUACUCACUUCCAUAUUGUGAAACCACUGCAUUCGAUUUCUCCAGACUCUGAUAUAAGAGGAAAUAUAUCAGGAAAUAUAUGCAACAAAAUAGUCAAUGAGUAAAUGCAAAUAUGGCCUUUUAACAAAUUCUGAUUACAUGCUCAUGAUAAAAGUUCAGUAAACGUAGAAACAUGUCUCUCCAAAUUAUUUUUCUACAACUCUCACUUGCAAUGAUGGCCAGAGAGGUUAUUUGAGUUCAGUGUCUACACUGGAAAGUAGUAUUUCUAAUACUUGUGAGGGCAGGAUUAGUUAUAACUGAGGGUAAAAGUAAUUAUGUGAUUGACCGCUGCUUAGUGGCAGUAAUGUAGGAGUUAUUUUGCUCUAUGGUGAUAAAUAGAAGGAUGAGCCACAAAGCAGAGUCUCUAGAUUUAUAUACUGCUUGGGUUUGAUCUGACACUUACGUCAUAACCCUUCGGCAGUGACUGUCUGUGACCUGCGAGACUGCAUGUUUCAGGGUGAAGUUUGUUCAUGGACGAGUGGAAAAUGCACAUGUAAAAGGCACUUUCUUAUGUUCUGUUGUAUUAGCCGCUGUGUCAUUGUCAGCUACCAGAAAUGUGUGAAUAUCAGUUUUUUUUGGUUCCUAGUGUUCGUAGACAGAUGUUACAUGCAUGAGGUCUGUCACGGCCCGCCAGAACUAAGAACCCUUGUGGACUUUGAAAAGACUCUUUUGAACUCUUUUGACUUUGUGGACUUUAUUGUUUAUGAUGUCUUUGAUAACCCUUCCUUGUGUGUGUAUCUGUUCAUGUGAAGUUCUUUCAUUGUGAUCUCUUGUGUUUUGUUCAUCUGGAGUUUGGUAUUUCUUGUUUUAUUUUGCAGUCUCUUCCUGUCCUCCUUGUAUCUCAUUUGGUCACUUUACGUUUUCUUGUUUGUUUCUUUUUGGUAACUUAACUUAUUAAUCACACCUCUUGCCCUUACCUGCAUUUGGGUCCUGCUCCAUAAAACCUGACAAGGUCUUGGGAGCAGCUCAAAUGAAUAUACACAUGGAUUCUCUGUCUCUCUCGCUGCUCUUCCAGCUGCAUGGUGGCUUUCCACUGGGUGCCAUCAGUGCUGAUUCCACUCAGUGGUGGAGUCAAUGAAGCAGUGGGUCUAUGGCAGAGAGAGCGAGGGAGAGAAAGGGAGGAGACACCUUUGAUCUGUUUUUGUUCCAGAGGAGGGCUGCCGCUGUGUGACCUUGACGUGUGGCGGAACACAUGCACUUGACAAAGCGGAGUAGAGAGAAGAUGCCUUCCCAGGCUGCACAGACAUAAACUUGAGACCGACAUAGAUGCGCGAAGGUCCCAAAAACCUAUUUUCUGAAUUAACAAUUUGCUACAAGCAAAAGACUUAUAUAAACUUGUAUAUGAGGGUUUGUCUCACUCGUGUUCAGUAGGCAUGACAGUGGGAAAAGUAGAACAUGCUAUCGUGCACACAGAUAUUAAAAACAGGUUUGCAGGGAUAGACUGUAACUAAUGCCAUAUUUUCACAUAUAAUUGUCCAUUAAUAAUACAAAAGAUCUGUAUGGUGUAUAUUCAUUUAAUCAAAACCAAUAUGAUCAUUCCUUUCCAUUGCAUUGUGUUGAUCUGUUCGAAGGCAUGUGAUCACUGUUGUAUAAAA
rnacentral:lncRNA from 1 species